CGACGCCAGUCUUUCCCUGUGUCUUCAGCGUUGGAUCGUGUUCAGCGCCACGAUCAUAGUUUAUCAAGGGCUGGGCAUCCUUUCUCGACAAUGUGGGUCACUAGAUUACAAUCAUGGGUGGCUGCGUGGGAUGAUGCAGACGAGCAGUUGGCUGAGGAUACCGGUCCACACACUGAGCCUUCGUUUCGGGCGUACCUGACCUGGAUCGCUAUGCACGACACAGGGAUGAGGCAUUAGCUGGGGCGUUCGAGGCAUGCAGGCUACUUGAAUUAGAUUGCUCACUGAAUGUAAUGAGGAUUUAUGGCGGGUCUACGAUGAGCGUGCCGGCACAACUCGAGGCCUGGACCACUCAACGUGAUAGAGCCCGAGGUAUGCUUCAGGCCUU